GGAGGCUGUAGCUUAGUGGUAGAGUGUGUGCUUAGAAUGCAUAAGGUCCUGGGUUCAAACCCCAGUACCUCCA